AUCCAGGCAUAGCAGAAGAGAUGCCUUGACCAUGCACUUGGUUUCCCAGGGUGAGGUUUAGUCAUUGCACUCCAGUUGUACUGACCCCUGCAGUGCCCCCAAAUGUGGGAAAGUCAACUGCAUAAUUUCUGCUAGUGGGAGACUGCUUGCUCUCUUU
rnacentral:snRNA from 1 species